AUCCUUUUCUUUAUGAAAUUAUCCUGUUUGUUGAAGAUCUUCCUCUGUAACACCACACAAAUGCUACUAGGCUAGAAAAUCCUCUUUUCUACUGUUUUAAGCUCCAGUUUUGUAUAGAAAGCACAUGACUAGGGGCAUGUGACAGUAAGUAGUACUGUAUUGCUCUCAUAAAGCAUUCAAAAGUAGAGAUGGUCAACAUAUUAUGAAACAAACUGUUCAUUUUCCUUUGCUAUCAAUGAGACAUUUCACUUUCCCUUUGCAAAACAAACUUUUCCUUUCUGAAUUUUUCAUGUUGGUAACUUUUUUCCAUGAUCUCCAUUAGUUAAACAUUGUGCAUAAGAAAUGGAUUAUAAUGUAUAUUGCUAAUUAAGAAGGGAUCUCUGACACAGCAGUGGCUCCUUUCACAAAGAAUGGGAUCUGCUUCGGAGCCAGCUGGGAUCUUUCACAAAGACCCUAUUCAUCAAAAUAGCAAUUGAGAGUAUUUUCACAAAGACUAGGAGCUUCUGUGCUGAGCCAGCUAAAUGGUUUCACAAAAAACAGGAUACUCUAAUCUACACAGUAGGUAGUGCUUUGUUAAAGAUGAUGUUCUCCAUGAAACUGUUAAGACAGUUCAGGAGUGAGCUCCUAAACUCACUGAACACACUUUAGUUUCACUCCUGAACCAGCUGAACUUUUCCUUAUAGGUCUUGGCCUUCAACCAGCCGCUGCUUCACAGUUGGCUAUCUGUGAUGCAUAAGCAUACAGUUGCGACAAGGAACACUAAUUUUCUUUUUCUUUUGUUAAUUAACAGAAUAAUUACAUAACCCUAGAGAGCCCACUAAAGUCUUAUUGCAUACAUAUUUUUACUUUCUGUGGUUUGUAGACUUCAAGCUAGAGGGGCCUGAAAAAUCAUGAGACUUAGUAAACAUUUUUUGGGUCUGUUCUUAAUUGAUCAUUUGGAAACUAAGUAACCAAUUUUCUUGAAACUCCUCUGAAAACUCAAGCUUUACUCAAAGAUUGUGUGGAAAAUUUUGAGAAGAUACACACUAGUUUUCAUACAAAACAAAGAUGAAGAAUUUCCACUUGAAGUGCGAAACAGAACACAGCAUCGACUGUCUCAUGGCAAUGGCUCUCCCAUAAUUCAUUUUAUCUUGUUUCAUGAUUAUUUUACAUCCAAACAUAAAAGGUAUCUCUCACAAAUUGGCUCUUUUGCCCUUCUUUUUCCUAUAAAAAUAUAAUGUUAACCAAAUAGUACAUAGUAAAAAAAUUGAGGCUAAUGCAAUAGUCUUCUCUGCAUCUUACCCGAUGCUUGAAAUUGGUGUUUGGACUAACAAUGCUGACUUAAAAAAACAAAAAUCUCAAUUUGCACUAUAGAGGUCAAAAGCUGAAAAGUCACUUUAAAGAGAAUGAUUUAUAUAUUUAAUGUUCAGCAAAAGGUUUUGCUAUAUAUCAUUUGAAAUAUGCUGCAUCAUGUGGCUAUUAAUUUAAAAAUUGUACAAAAAUUAAGACAUUAAACAUUUUAAAACUCAAAGGAUGAUAUCUUGCUCCCAUUGAAGUCAAUGGUAAAAUUUAGUUUCAGGGGGAGGCAAGAUUUCAACCAUAGUAUUUCACUAAACAGAGACUGGAUACCAUAACAACAUGAAAGCAUCAGAUACCUAGUUCUAAGGCC
ensembl:lncRNA